rnacentral:rRNA from 1 species
UACGAAGGGUGCAAGCGUUACUCGGAAUUACUGGGCGUAAAGCGUGCGUAGGUGGUUUGUUAAGUCUGAUGUGAAAGCCCUGGGCUCAACCUGGGAAUUGCAUUGGAUACUGGCAGGCUAGAGUGCGGUAGAGGAUGGCGGAAUUCCCGGUGUAGCAGUGAAAUGCGUUGAUAUCGUUCGGAACACCGAAAGCGAAGGCAGAGCACUGGGUGCCACCUGACACUGCUAGGACGAAAGCGUGGGGAGCGAAUGGG